rnacentral:lncRNA from 1 species
ACCCUUUUAAAUCUUUCCCAUUAAAUUUUGGCAAUUCAAUACGAGCAUAUCUAUUACCUCCAAUAAAGUCGUUACCUGUUGUAUGUAAUCCACCACCAUCGAUUGGAGCUGGUGCGACUGAUGCUGUUGAAGUCGCCGGAGCUGAAUUAGUUGCCAUCGCCGCCACUAGUUGUCGAAUUUCAUUGAUCAUAUCGUCAUGGAGUUCUCCCAGUAUCCAGACCUGCUCCCUAACUUCGUCCACAUCCCAUCGUAAUUUAGUAUUUCUAGUUGUUUUCGACAUGGUUUAUGGCCAAG